GCCACUGUAGUGUAGUGAUAGAGCAUGCGUCCCUGGUAUGGAUGAAACGAGGGGUCGAUUUCCGCCUGAGGCC